GACGAACGCUGGCGGCGUGCCUAAUACAUGCAAGUAGAACGCUGAAGCGAGGAGCUUGCUCUUCUUGGAUGAGUUGCGAACGGGUGAGUAACGCGUAGGUAACCUGCCUUGUAGCGGGGGAUAACUAUUGGAAACGAUAGCUAAUACCGCAUAACAAUGGAUGACACAUGUCAUUUAUUUGAAAGGGGCAAUUGCUCCACUACAAGAUGGACCUGCGUUGUAUUAGCUAGUAGGUGAGGUAAUGGCUCACCUAGGCGACGAUACAUAGCCGACCUGAGAGGGUGAUCGGCCACACUGGGAAUGAGACACGGCCCAGACUCCUACGGGAGGCAGCAGUAGGGAAUCUUCGGCAAUGGGGGCAACCCUGACCGAGCAACGCCGCGUGAGUGAAGAAGGGUUUCGGAUCGUAAAGCUCUGUUGUAAGUCAAGAACGGGUGUGAGAGUGGAAAGUUCACACUGUGACGGUAGCUUACCAGAAAGAGACGGCUAACUACGUG
rnacentral:rRNA from 1 species